rnacentral:rRNA from 1 species
CAAGUCGAACGAUGAACCUCGCUUGCGGGGGGAUUAGUGGCGAACGGGUGAGUAACACGUGAGUAACCUGCCCUUAACUCUGGGAUAAGCCUUGGAAACGGGGUCUAAUACUGGAUAUUGACUUUUCCUCGCAUGGGGAUUGGUUGAAAGAUUUAUUGGUUUUGGAUGGACUCGCGGCCUAUCAGCUUGUUGGUGAGGUAAUGGCUCACCAAGGCGACGACGGGUAGCCGGCCUGAGAGGGUGACCGGCCACACUGGGACUGAGACACGGCCCAGACUCCUACGGGAGGCAGCAGUGGGGAAUAUUGCACAAUGGGCGAAAGCCUGAUGCAGCGACGCCGCGUGAGGGAUGACGGCCUUCGGGUUGUAAACCUCUUUCAGUAGGGAACAAGGCCAGUGUUUAGCUGGUUGAGGGUACUUGCAGAAGAAGCGCCGGCUAACUACGUGCCAGCAGCCGCGGUAAUACGUAGGGCGCAAGCGUUAUCCGGAAUUAUUGGGCGUAAAGAGCUCGUAGGCGGUUUGUCGCGUCUGCCGUGAAAGUCCGGGGCUCAACCCCGGAUCUGCGGUGGGUACGGGCAGACUAGAGUGAUGUAGGGGAGACUGGAAUUCCUGGUGUAGCGGUGAAAUGCGCAUAUAUCAGGAGGAACACCGAUGGCGAA